rnacentral:rRNA from 1 species
CCUACGGGUGGCAGCAGUGGGGAAUAUUGCGCAAUGGGCGAAAGCCUGACGCAGCGACGCCGCGUGAGGGAUGAAUGUCUUCGGAUCGUUAACCUCUGUCAGCAGGGAAGUACGGUCACUGUGCUAAUCAGCAGUGAAUUGACGGUACCUGCAACGGUAGCACCGGCUAACUCCGUGCCAGCAGCCGCGGUAGUACGGCGGGUGCGAGCGUUGAUCGGAAUUACUGGGCGUAAAGGGCGCGUAGGCGGUAUGUCAAGUCAAGGGUGAAAUCCCCGCGCUCAACGGUGGAACUGCCUUUGAAACUGGCAAACUGGAGUGUGUGAGAGGAAAGUGGAAUUCCAGGUGUAGGAGUGAAAUCCGUAGAUAUCUGGAGGAACUACAGUGGCGAAGGCGACUAACUGGCACAUAACUGACGCUGAGGAGCGAAAGCGUGGGUAGCAAACAGGAUUAGAUACCCCUGUAGUC